rnacentral:lncRNA from 1 species
UGGGUGGGUGAUGGAUAGUUGUUCCCUGGUGAAAUGCUAGAAAACGGAUAGGUUGGUAUGCCCAGGUUUGGACAGAAGGGGCCUUCUGUACAGAGGGUUGCCCAAGACAGUUGGCCCAACCUCCAGCCCAGCUUUGGGUCCAGGUUAAGCGCCCACAAGCCUUUGUCCUGGAUUUGGGACUCUUGGGCCUUACCUGCAGGUCCUGAGCCCAGCUGGUCCUGGAACUGUUCUAUCUGCCUUAUAGGGCAGUGUCCAUCCUUCUCCGGGCCUGCUCUCUGUCUCCCCAGCACAGGAGUCUUCCAGCUUCUUAAGUGGGCCUUGGAGGGGGGCUCAAGGUGGCAUCAUUAUCAGAAAAUGUUAAGAGUGAGAAGAAAAUCCUGGGAGAUGGCUGGAUCCCACCUACUCUUUCUGUUGAGCAUCACUGUUGUUGCUGCUGGCUGAGCACCCAGCCCUCCAUGAACUUUGACUAGCACCCACUCACUGUGCCAACGGGCUGAGCAUCAUGAUACAGAAGUGAGAUCAGAGGUUAUAUUGCAAAAAGGACAUGUCCUACAGCACCUAGAACCAGAAGUGAAUGAGCAAGAAAGACAAAGAAGGUUUGAAAUGGGGCUGUCAGAAGCUUGUCUGGGGAAGAGUCUUCCAGUCGUCACGUGUGUGAAAUUUGUAAAUGGAGGAUUCAGUUCU